GGUCAGGUGGCGUAAUGGUUAACACCCCUGCUAUAUAUGCAGAAGCCUUGGGUUCAAUCCCCAGUCUGGCCA